GGUCAGUGAUGAGCAGUAAAAGGUCUGAUUACCCACAAUCCUCUCCUGCUGCCCUCCUGCUCCCAGCAGCCCCUGCUCUGUACUCCCAUCAUGCUCUAGUGGUGCAGUGGUGGUCCCAAGAGCUGCAGACAGACAGGAUGUGACAUCACAGUGUGAGUCAGUACAGAGACCCUGCAGGUUCAGUGUGAUGAUGUCAUCCAUCAGCGAGGAGCGUGAGGCUGAGGAGGAGGAGGAGGGAGAUGACCAAACCCGAGACU